rnacentral:lncRNA from 1 species
UGUGCAUAGCAUUGAACGCUGAGUUGUCCUCUGGAUUAAGCAGGAAUGGUUUAUAUGGACCCUGCUUGUGUUUCCUCUUCCAGGGUGACUUUGGUGCUAUCGGCCCACCAGGUCCUACAAUAGUGAUUGACAGAGAAGGUGCCGUGAUCUCAGGUCCUCCUGGGGAGCCGGGGACACCAGGAAUCCCUGGCUCCAGAGGUGAAAAAGGCAGUGUUGGCUCACCAGGUCUUGCCGGCCGACCAGGAAUUCCUUCACCCUUUCCAAGUCCCACAGGUCUGAUGGGAUUCCCAGGUGUCCCAGGACUUAAAGGUGACCGAGGAGACCCUGGUCAAGCAACAUUUGGAUU